rnacentral:rRNA from 1 species
GAAUAUUGGACAAUGGGGGGAACCCUGAUCCAGCCAUGCCGCGUGUGUGAAGAAGGCCUUUUGGGUGUAAAGCACUUUAAGCGAGGAGGAGGCUACUCUAGUUAAUACCAAGAGAUAGUGGACGUUACUCGCAGAAGAAGCCCCGGCUAACUCAGUGCUAGACGCCGCGGUAAUACAGAGGGUGCAAGCGUUAAUCGGAGUUACUGGGCGUAAAGCACGCGUAGGUGGCCAAUUAAGUCAAAUGUGAAAUCCCCGAGCUUAACUUGGGAAUUGCAUUCGAUACUGGUUGGCUAGAGUAUGGGAGAGGAUGGUAGAAUUCCAGGUGUAGCGGUGAAAUGCGUAGAGAUCUGGAGGAAUACCGAUGGCGAAGGCAGCCAUCUGGCCUAAUACUGACACUGAGGUGCGAAAGCAUGGGGAGCAAAC